UUUUUACAACCUAUUACAGACCAAAAGUAAAAUUACAUUAGAAAUUAAACUACAACCAAGGAGCCUAAUUCAGACUCAAGGUCUAAAAAUGAGAUGAAUCAACUCCGAAGAUCAGGAUUUCCAAGGCCUUUCUCUUAUUUGGAAUGUGUAAAAGUUCCCUAAGAGUCUCAGGUGGACUCCGGACAGUGCUUACACCCAAAUAUAUUGCAGAAUUAAGAUAGUGCAGUGUGGAAAAGUCAGCCCUUGAAUGUCCAAGUUAAGAGAGAACUCACGGUCCCAAAGCAACGCUUAUAGGAGAGGGCAGAACUUAGAAUCUAAGAGAGAUUACAAGUGCAUAAAGGGGGAGUUAGGGAAGGCCAUGGCAGGGUGGUGGUCAUGCCCAUCAAUUAGGAGUGCUGGCACACCCCUGACUAGCCUGUUAGCCAAAUUUGGGCAGUUAGGAUCCAUUGAGGAUCAAGUUCAGACAUGGGAAACAAUUUGGAUGUUGUCCGGCCAUGAACCCUAACUCGAACACAUAGAAGGGAGUAAGGAUAUGGGGAAGUUCAUAACAAACAACAGAUGCAAAGAAGGGUAACUUAAAACAUAAACAGCAAAGUAGACAAGAUGGUAGUAACUGUAAAUUAAACACAUACGGAUGAGGCUGAAAUCAAAAUCAAGACAUACCAAUUUCAGGAAAUAAGAAGAGAAAAAGCAAAAGUCUUGUAAACUAAAUUGCAAGCAAACUGUCCAAGAACUCUCAGAAGAGAGUAGAGUAUUGAAAGAGUAUUGUGUGUGUAAAAUAUUGAAUUCGAAGUGUUCAAUAAGUGAUGUGUUUAACUGAAGGUAAUGUCAGUUGAAGGUGUCGAACUAAAGGUUCAAGGUUCAGGUUCUACGUUUUUUUGAGUAGAAGGGUAGAAGGGUUGUGCCCCUUUUAUAAUGUAGAAAACAAGUAGGAAAAGGUAAGGAAUAGUUUGCAAUCAAUCACAUAUAGUAUCCCUUUAGUUAAGGGAUUUUGAUUUCAAACGGGUAGGGGAUAAAUGAAGAAAGAAACUUGAUUAAAAUCUUUUCCAAAGUAACAUAAAAGGCUGAAGGUGUCGAACUGAAGGUUCAAGGUGGUUGUCAAUGCAGACGGGUUGUACCCCUUUUACAGUGCAGAAAACAAGUAAGAAAAGGUAAGGGAAUAGUUUUGCAAUGAAUCACAUAUCUCCCUUCAGUUAAGGGAUUCUGAUUUCAAACGGGUAGAAGAAAAUUAAGGAAAGAAUUUGAUUAAAAUAUUUUCCAAAGUAACACAAGAAGGGUAAAUACACAUGAGUUAUUUAAGGCAAAAGUUUAGUAGUGCAUGGUUUGUGAAAAAUAAGGAAAAGGAAUCAAAUAAACAGCCAGAAAAAUCAAUAUUGCAUGUUGUAUUCGAAUGAACCAAGUUAGGAAAAGGUAAAAAGGGUUCAAUUACAGAAAAAUCAGAAACAAUCAGCCAAACCUUAUUACAAGGAAUUCAAAAUCAAUCAGUAGUUGUCAAAACCCUUUUGAAGGAAGAUAUAUAAAACAUACAAAUAUCAAACAAAAUGAGUUGUCGUGCUAAUUAGAAAAAUAUAGGCAUGGAAAGGUUCAGAGUCAUAAGCAAAGAGUUUUAAAUUCAAUUCACAGUACCUAGAAUGCGCCUGACGGUUUGGGGUUCCAAAGUAGAACCCUAAUCAAACUUGCCAAAGAAACCCCCAAAUCC
rnacentral:lncRNA from 1 species